rnacentral:rRNA from 1 species
UACGAGGGGGGCAAGCGUUGUUCGGAAUUAUUGGGCGUAAAGGGCGCGUAGGCGGUGCGGUAAGUCUGAUGUGAAAUCUCCGGGCUCAACUCGGAGUCUGCAUCAGAAACUGCCGUGCUCGAGUGUGGGAGAGGUGAGUGGAAUUCCCGGUGUAGCGGUGAAAUGCGUAGAUAUCAUUUGGAACGCCAACGGCGAAAGCAGGCAACUGGGGAUGCACCGACGCUGAGACACGAAAGCCAGGGGAGCGAACGGG